rnacentral:rRNA from 1 species
CCUACGGGAGGCAGCAGUGAGGAAUAUUGGUCAAUGGACGAGAGUCUGAACCAGCCAAGUAGCGUGAAGGAUGACUGCCCUAUGGGUUGUAAACUUCUUUUAUAUGGGAAUAAAAUGUUCCACGUGUGGGAUUUUGUAUGUACCAUAUGAAUAAGGAUCGGCUAACUCCGUGCCAGCAGCCGCGGUAAUACGGAGGAUCCGAGCGUUAUCCGGAUUUAUUGGGUUUAAAGGGAGCGUAGGUGGAUUGUUAAGUCAGUUGUGAAAGUUUGCGGCUCAACCGGAAAAUUGCAGUGGAAACUGGCAGUCUUGAGUACAGUAGAGGUGGGCGGAAUGCGUGGUGUAGCGGUGAAAUGCUUAGAUAUGACGAAGAACUCCGAUUGCGAAGGCAGUUCACUGGACUGCAACUGACACUGAGGCUCGAAAGUGUGGGUAUCAAACAGGAUUAGAUACCCCAGUAGUC